rnacentral:rRNA from 1 species
AACGAGCGCUGGCGGCGCGUCUUAACCAUGCCAGUCGAGCGGCAGGCAGCAAUGCCGAGCGCGGCGGACUGGUGAGUAAUACGUGGAUAACGUACCCCGAUGUCCGGGACAGCCUGUAGAAAUAGAGGGUAAUACCGGAUAGAUCUCUGUUUACGUGAGGUAGACAGCGGGAAAGGAGCUUCGGCUCCGCGACGGGAUCGGUCUGCGGCCCAUCAGCUGGACGGCGGGGUAAAGGCCCGCCGUGGCGAGGACGGGUAUCCGGCCUGAGAGGGCGGACGGACACAUUGGGACUGAGAUACGGCCCAGACUCCUACGGGAGGCAGCAGGUAAGAAUAUUCCGCAAUGGGGGGAACCCUGACGGAGCGACGCCGCGUGAACGAAGAAGGCCGGAAGGUUGUAAAGUUCUUUUCUGUCCGAGGAAUAAGUUUCGGAGGAAAUGCCGGGACGGUGACGGUAGGGCAGGAAUAAGCACCGGCUAAUUACGUG